CACAAGUCCUCCUGUGGUCACAGAUGUGCUCUGCUUUAGCUUGGCUGUCUUAUGAGUCUUGGGUGGCAUCCCUGGACAUUCGUUUCAAGCUGGGAUGGGCCGCAGAAAGCUUCUGAGGCAUUCUCGCCACCUGAUCUGCCCCAACGGGAGACCACUUUCAGGUGUGGCCACCUCUGUUGCACAGUAGGCUCGCCUCUUUGUUGUUGUUCCCACCUUAUCUGGAUAGCAGUGCUGAGAAUCAGGAGUCCCUGCGUUUGGAGACCAAGGCCGGGCCCCAUGGUGGGUGGCCCAGGUCACAGGGCAGCAGUCAGCUUAUGGAGCCAGGGAACGUCCUGCUGACACCCUCAGCAAGUGUCUCGGGUAUAUUCCGGUUUUCCAACGAAACCCAUCACACCUCAUCCAACUGAAUCUCUCGCCCCACCGGACCCUAUCGCUGCCCGCGUCACCCCAUCCGAAAUCCAAUGAAAACAGCAGUCCCGGGUGUUCAUCGCAGGGUCUGAAGUGCGCUCCUCCCCAACCCAACCCAAUAAGGAAAGCCAGCUCAAGAAGGUACUGAGGUCAGGACUGUCGGGGUCCAGCAAGGCUUGUUGCACAUAGCCCCCUUCCCAGAGCCGCCCCUGUCACCGCCUCCCCAGUGCGCCUCUGUGGCAGCAAUCGGACAGCGCCAACGUGGCCGCUCCCCAGCCGGUACGCCAAUGCGCAUGCGGAAGCAGCCUGAGGCAAGCGCCAGGGCUGACCCGGCGCUCGCGUCACAACGACCUGCCACAAUUGCUGGGGAAACGGUCUGAGCGGCUUGGGCAAGGAGAGGCCCACUGUGGCAGCGCCUCAGCAUUUGGCAAUGGUCCUCCCUCUCCGCGGGAUCAUGCCAUUGUCCCGAGGCGGAAUCAGAGUGAGAGAACGUCCGAAGUGGCUUCCAAGUUGCCCAGGGCGGUCCGCAGGAAUCCCCAGGAUGCUUCAGGCCUGCCCAGACAAUGAAAAAGUGCAUCUUGUUGAAAGCCCUUCCGGCUGGGCUUUCCAGGAAAGAGUUCUAGAGAGAGAAGACAAAGGCAGUCUGUGUUUAAAAAAAAACCCAAGGCUGAAAAUUGAAGAACUGAAUAUGCAGCUUGGAAAGCGAACUGGACACAUGGAAAAUCUUGUCAGGAAAGAGUUCUAGAGAGAGAAGACAAAGGCAGUCUGUGUUUAGAAAAAACCCAAGGCUGAAAAUUGACGAACUGAAUAUGCAGCUUGGAUAGCGAACUGGACACAAGGAAAAUCUUGUCACGUAUGUUGCAUGUUAAGUCUUUGUGUUAAGGCUCAUUUUUCCAUGUUCCUCAUUUCCUCCUCACAAAACAAAUGUGACAACCUUUGCAAGGCAGGCCCUUGCUGAAAUUUUUAUGUGGUGGAGACACUACGUCACAAACACAUUUCAUCCACUUGUUUAACUCUCACACAUGGUUAUAGUCUGCAUGUUGAUGGAAAUAAGAGUGGUAAUGUGACACAGGCCAUUUUUCUUACUUGGCAAGAAAAGUUGACAAAUUUGUCCCCUUAGACGCCAUAAAAAUAAUUUGGCCUAGACAAUUUGUACCAAGAUUAUGAUGUUGUACGUGAAAACAAUAAAAUUCCUAAGCUCUGUUAGCAUACUGUGAAAGGUGAAUUAUGUAAGCAAUGGUGAGAAGAACGAAGGUUAAUUUAUAAGAACAAUAUUGGCACUUUGUGAUUGCUGACCAAAGCAAAUGUGUGGAACGCUUCUGUGUCAUAAAAUAAAAAAGGUGAAAAGAUGUCCCAGGUAGAUUUUAGGUUUUUUUUGUUUUGCAUUUUUGUCGGUCUCGUGCUCUUUUUUUUUAGUGAGUUAUAAUCCUAAUCGGGAGUCUUAGUUGAUGCAUAUCACUGGCUCUUAUCCACAGUCCAGAUAAAAGACAUUAGAUCUCCGGGUGGGCUGUGGUGUCUGUCUGUGAACGAAAAGAGAGCUAAUGUAAAAGAGGCAGCAGAGUGUCAAAGAACCAUGGCACAAAAGUUCUUAGUCUUGUUACCGGGACUCUGUAAGGGAACCCGUUCUGAUUUCUGACAAAAAAUUGUCUUCUGAACAAGACCAGUUACAUUAACGGAGGGCACAGAAAUUUAACAUUUUAGAAAAAAAUAUAUAUUUAUAAACAAAUAUAUUAG
rnacentral:lncRNA from 1 species